rnacentral:snRNA from 1 species
AUCGCUUCUCGGCCUAUUGGCUAAGAUCAAAGUGUAGUAUCUGUUCCACUGAUUGUAGCUCAAAAAGACAUUUGUAAAUGGACAUUGGCUACAGUGUCACCGUGUCAAUUAAGGUCAUUGUUUGACAUUUCAUAAAUUUAUUUUGUCUAAGCUUUUUGAAAACUCU